rnacentral:rRNA from 1 species
CUAUGGUUUAUUGGAUCGUGCCCGUUAAAUGGAUAACUGUAAUAACUCUAGAGCUAAUACAUGCCUCGAUGCCCUGACCCUGUCUGCUAUGCUGAUAGGGAAUGGGUGCACUUAUUAGAUCAGAAGCCAACCAACAGUGCGUGUACGGCUACAAAGUCGUGGCGUGCGUUGAGACACUUCUGGUGACUCUGGAUAAUUGUUACAGAUCGCAGUCGGCCUUGAGUCGGCGACGGGUCCUUCAAAUGUCUGCCCUAUCAACUUUCGAUGGUAGGUGACCUGCCUACCAUGGUGAUAACGGGUAACGGGGAAUCAGGGUUCGAUUCCGGAGAGGGAGCCUGAGAAACGGCUACCACUUCCAAGGGAGGCAGCAGGCGCGCAAAUUACCCACUCCCAGUACGGGGAGGUGGUGACGAAAAAUACCGAUGCGGGACUCCUUAAAGAGGCUCCGUAAUCGGAAUGAGUGGACUCUAAAUCCUUUCACGAGGAUCCAUUGGAGGGCAAGUCUGGUGCCAGCAGCCGCGGUAACUCCAGCUCCAAUAGCGUAUAUUAAAGUUGCUGCAGUUAAAAAGCUCGUAGUUGGAUCUCGGUAGCACUGUUGCCCGUCGGUAUUUGAGCGGCUGGUGUGUGGCUUAUGACGCGCGGUCUUAGCCUACGACGGUCUGCUAGCCUAGCGGGUGCGUCGGCGAUCUGGUGGUCCGCUUGGUCGAUGGGUUGGUCGGUCGGUCGGUCGGUCGGUCGGUCGGUCRGUCAGUCRGUCGCUCGCUCGCUCGCUCGCUCGCGCGCUUCCUCCCUCUCUGUCUCGCUCGUUGGUUUGCUCGCUCACCCAUGGUGUAUGUUUGAGUAGAUGGGCGGGUGUUGGUUGGGGUGGGUUGGGUGUGCGCGGACGUGGACGUGGACGCGGACGCGGACGGCUCACCUGUUCGUUGAUGUGCCUGCCUGCCUGCCUGCCUGCCGCAGCGUAGGGCGGGGCUGUGUUGUUGUGGCCAUUGAUUAGCGCUGUCGUGUCAAGCCGGCAGGGCGGUGGUGUCACCUUUGAGCCAUGUCUGUGGUGUAGCAGCCGCAGGUGUGGGCGGGUGUUGGACAGUGCUUCACACACGCUGUGGGGCCUGUCGGCUCGUCUGCAUGCCUUUGGAUGCCCUUCAAAAGGUGUCCGUGGGCGGAUGGCACGUUUACUUUGAACAAAUUUGAGUGCUCAAAUCAGGCCGAUGUUGCCUGAAAAGUUUUGCAUGGAAUAAUGGAAUAGGACUUCGGUUCUAUUUCGUUGGUUUUCGGAUCCGAAGUAAUGAUCAAAAGAGACAGGCGGGGACGUUUGUAUGGCUGCGCUAGAGGUGAAAUUCAUGGACCGUAGCCAGACAGACUAAAGCGAAAGCAUUCGUCAAGCAUGUUUUCAUUGGCCAUGAGCGAAAGUCAGAGGCUCGAAGACGAUCAGAUACCGUCCUAGUUCUGACCAUAAACGAUGCCAACUGACGAUCCGUGGUGGUAGUUCUUCAACCUUCCCCACGGGCAGUCCCCGGGAAACCUUUAANNNNNNNNNNNNNNNNNNNNNNNNNNNNNNNNNNNNNNNNNNNNNNNNNNNNNNNNNNNNNNNNNNNNNNNNNNNGGUCGGUCGGUCGGUCGGUCGGUCGGUCGGUCGGUCGGUCGGUCGGUCGGUGGGUCGGCUGGUCUGGCCGUGAGUGCGGGGCGUGGAGUUGGUGCGGCGUUGGAUAGUCGAGGGGUUGACGCUUGCGGUGGUUUGGUCAGUCUGGCGUUGGCUCCCGGGUGCGGCGCGAAUGCCUACUUCUUAGAGGGACAAGCGGGAGAAGCCGCACGAAAUAGAGCAAUAACAGGUCUGUGAUGCCCUUAGAUGUCCGGGGCCGCACGCGCGCUACAAUGACGGUGUCAACGAGUUAGACCUUCUGGCCCGAAAGGGUUGGGCAAACUGGUCAAUCACCGUCAUGACAGGGAUCGGGGCUUGGAAUUGUUCCCCGUGAACGAGGAAUUCCUAGUAAGUGCAAGUCAUAAGCUUGCGCUGAUUACGUCCCUGCCCUUUGUACACACCGCCCGUCGCUACUACCGAUUGAAUGGUUUAGUAAGGUCCUUGGAUUGGCACCAUUGUGGUGGCCGCCGAGAGGCGACCGCCCGCCAGGUGCUGAGAAGACGACCGAACUUGAUCAUUUAGA